GCGCCGGUAAUGUAAGGCGUAGCAGCGCUGCCCAGAAAGCAGAAGUCGCGGGUUCGAGUUCCGCCUCGCGCA
rnacentral:tRNA from 1 species